AAAGGGAGUUUAAUAUUUAAUAUAAUCUCGGUAUUAGGUUGCUUUGAUUCUGAAAUGGUAUGAGACCACAUACUGGCUGUAUGUACUGGACGGUCUUGAAGUGGACCUUAAUUGCUCUUAUACACGUUAUUAAACCACUACAGAUUCGUAGGAACAAGAAUAAAGAAAAUCAAUAGCGUAACAGCAAUAUGGAUGGACGAAAACUAAGUUUGGUUUGUUAAAUUAGUUGUGGAAAAAUAUAGAUCAAGAUUUCGAGAGAAUAACUUCCGAAGUAUGGACAAGAAGAUCUGAAACCGGUAAGAUUAU